UCCGAUCAUUGGCCGCAUGAAGGGCAUC
rnacentral:piRNA from 1 species